GGGCGAUUAGCUCAGUUGGUUAGAGCACUACGUUGACAUCGUAGGGGUCACUGGUUCGAGUCCAGUAUCGCCCACCA
rnacentral:tRNA from 1 species